rnacentral:rRNA from 1 species
AGCGAACGCUGGCGGCAGGCUUAACACAUGCAAGUCGAGCGGGCACUUCGGUGUCAGCGGCAGACGGGUGAGUAACACGUGGGAACGUACCCUUUGGUUCGGAAUAACGCUGGGAAACUAGCGCUAAUACCGGAUACGCCCUUUUGGGGAAAGGCUUGCUGCCGAAGGAUCGGCCCGCGUCUGAUUAGCUAGUUGGUGGGGUAAUGGCCUACCAAGGCGACGAUCAGUAGCUGGUCUGAGAGGAUGAUCAGCCACACUGGGACUGAGACACGGCCCAGACUCCUACGGGAGGCAGCAGUGGGGAAUAUUGGACAAUGGGCGCAAGCCUGAUCCAGCCAUGCCGCGUGAGUGAUGAAGGCCUUAGGGUUGUAAAGCUCUUUUGUCCGGGACGAUAAUGACGGUACCGGAAGAGUAAGCCCCGGCUAACUUCGUG